rnacentral:rRNA from 1 species
GACGGAGGGUGCUAGCGUUGUUCGGAAUGACUGGGCGUAAAGGGCGCGUAGGCGGCUCGUGAAAUCGGGUGUGAAAGCCCGGGGCUCAACCCCGGAACGGCAUCCGAUACUGGCGGGCUUGAGACCGGGAGAGGAGGGUGGAAUACCCAGUGUAGAGGUGAAAUUCGUAGAUAUUGGGUGGAACACCGGUGGCGAAAGCGGCUCUCUGGCCCGGAUCUGACGCCGAGGUGCGAAAGCGUGGGGAGCAAACAGG